rnacentral:rRNA from 1 species
GACGAACGCUGGCGGCGUGCUUAACACAUGCAAGUCGAACGGAAAGGCCCUGCUUUUGUGGGGUGCUCGAGUGGCGAACGGGUGAGUAACACGUGAGUAACCUGCCCUUGACUUUGGGAUAACUUCAGGAAACUGGGGCUAAUACCGGAUAGGAGCUCCUGCUGCAUGGUGGGGGUUGGAAAGUUUCGGCGGUUGGGGAUGGACUCGCGGCUUAUCAGCUUGUUGGUGGGGUAGUGGCUUACCAAGGCUUUGACGGGUAGCCGGCCUGAGAGGGUGGCCGGCCACAUUGGGACUGGGAUGCGGCCCAGACUCCUACGGGAGGCAGCAGUGGGGAAUAUUGCACUAUGGGCGGAAGCCUGAUGCAGCAACGCCGCGUGCGGGAUGACGGCCUUCGGGUUGUAAACCGCUUUCGCCUGUGACGAAGCGUGAGUGACGGUAAUGGGUAAAGAAGCACCGGCUAACUACGUG